AGAUCAUUAAGAGAAAGAGAUAUGGACCUCACCUCUUCCUGAUACCCUCUGCAAGGAAGCUCUCCCUCCCUGCCUAGAGCUGAAGUACUCGCAUCAGGCAGAUGAAGAAAGGAGAGAUCCAGAGAGAAAAAUGACUACAGCGGAGAGGGCAGAUUUAACACCUUCUGGAAUACUCAGGCAUAUUCUCCGGUGUUCCAGUUUCAGUAACAAUGCUUCAUCAAUCCUGGACACCGCCAAAAACCAGUUAGACAUCCUGCCAUUUUACCAGGAAAUUUUGACAAACAUUGAAGAAUCUGACUGGAUAUCUCUUCCCCUCCCAGGUGAAGCAAGGCAAGUUUGAGCUGAGAGGGUAUGUGGUCCUCAAGUU